rnacentral:rRNA from 1 species
UACAGAGGUCUCAAGCGUUGUUCGGAUUCAUUGGGCGUAAAGGGUGCGUAGGCGGUCAGCACAAGUCAGUUGUGAAAUCUCCGGGCUUAACUCGGAAAGGUCAACUGAUACUGUGCGACUAGAGUGCGGAAGGGGCAACUGAAUUCUCGGUGUAGCGGUGAAAUGUGUAGAUAUUCGGAAGAACACCAGCGGCGAAGGCAGCACGUUGGCGCUUUAUUGACGCUCAGGCACGAAAGCAUGGGGAUCAAACAGG